UACAGAGGCCUCGAGCGUUGUUCGGAAUUACUGGGCGUAAAGGGAAUGUAGGUGGUGACGUAAGUCAGAUGUGAAAGCCCUGGGCUUAACCCGGGAAGUGCAUUUGAUACUGCGUUGCUAGAGUAUGAGAGAGGAAAGCGGAAUUUCCAGUGUAGGAGUGAAAUCCGUAGAUAUUGGAAGGAAUACCGAUGGCGAAGGCAGCUUUCUGGCUCGUAACUGACACUGAGAUUCGAAAGCGUGGGUAGCAAACAGG
rnacentral:rRNA from 1 species